GAGUUUGAUCCUGGCUCAGGAUGAACGCUAGCGGCAGGCUUAAUACAUGCAAGUCGAACGGUAAGUUUGGUAGCAAUAUCGAACCUAGAGUGACGUACGGGUGCGUAACACGUAUGCAACCUACCCUUUACAGGAGGAUAGCUCGGGGAAACUCGAAUUAACCCUCCAUAAUAUUAUUGAAUGGCAUCAUUUGAUAAUUAAAACUCAGGUGGUAAAGGAUGGGCAUGCGUCUGAUUAGUUAGUUGGCGGGGUAACGGCCCACCAAGACGAUGAUCAGUAGGGGACCUGAGAGGGUGAUCCCCCACACUGGCACUGAGAUACGGGCCAGACUCCUACGGGAGGCAGCAGUAGGGAAUAUUGGUCAAUGGAUGCAAGUCUGAACCAGCCAUGCCGCGUGCAGGAAGAAGGCCUUCUGGGUUGUAAACUGCUUUUACCAGGGGAUAAAACUCUCAUGCGUGAGAAAUUGAAGGUACCUGGUGAAUAAGCCACGGCUAACUACGUGCCAGCAGCCGCGGUAAUACGUAGGUGGCAAGCGUUGUCCGGAUUUAUUGGGUUUAAAGGGUGCGUA
rnacentral:rRNA from 1 species